GUGGGGGAUAUUGCACAAUGGGCGAAAGCCUGAUGCAGCGACGCCGCGUGAGGGAAGACGGCCUUCGGGUUGUAAACCUCUGUCAUUCGGGACGAAUUAGAUGACGGUACCGAAGAAGGAAGCUCCGGCUAACUACGUGCCAGCAGCCGCGGUAAUACGUAGGGAGCGAGCGUUGUCCGGAAUUACUGGGUGUAAAGGGAGCGUAGGCGGGAAAGCAAGUUGGAAGUGAAAUGCAUGGGCUUAACCCAUGAGCUGCUUUCAAAACUGUUUUUCUUGAGUGAAGUAGAGGCAGGCGGAAUUCCUAGUGUAGCGGUGAAAUGCGUAGAUAUUAGGAGGAACACCAGUGGCGAAGGCGGCCUGCUGGGCUUUAACUGACGCUGAGGCUCGAAAGCGUGGGUAGCAAACAGGA
rnacentral:rRNA from 1 species